AAUCCCAUCUCGCAUACAGCUUCUUCCCUCAUUAAGUGCACUGACGCAGAGAGAAUGCAGACAUAUAAUCAUUUCACCACUUACAAGGUAUUAAGUGCAACAUCUUUGCAGUUUAUGCAAACAUUCCAGUGUCCUUUUUAUUGCAACAGCAGAAUUUCACUCACUGUUUUGAGCCAAACCCUCAGUGACAUAACAGGAGAAAGAGUGUCACCACUGAAGACGUCUCCCAUUCCUCACUUGGAGCUCUCAAAAUAGAGCAGAGUACCCAGCAUUGCUCACAGUGGUGAGGAUAUGCAGUAACUUGAGUUGUACACGGGUCCGUGUACGGAUCUGGUAAUUGGAUUUUCCGUUCUGAAACGGGUAUUGAAAAACAAAAAACGAGUGGUUAUUUGAUUUUCUUUUUAAAAUGCAAAAAUUAAAAUUGAAAUACAAGGCGUUUUUCCUUUUCAUGAUCAAAAAGGGAUAUACGAUUUUCUUAAAAAAUGUUUUGAUUUUCGUUUUGUAUUUAGAAUAACAAGAAAGUAAAAUCAGUAAGAGACAGAAACGAAAAAAGGUCAUUUUUUUUCAUUUUCUGAGACCGGAAAUGGUCAUCAGCAAGUGUGGAGCCAAACAGAGUACGGUGCAUAGACUGUACAUAAUUUUUUUUUCGUGAGUUUUCAUGGUCAAAAUGAGAGAUCAGGUGGCCGAUCUUAAAAUAAAUCAAUAUUGAUUUUUUUUUAGAGCGUUAAAGUUUUGCGAAGCCAGGGGGCGGGGCUACUUUAUUGACAGUCUGGUCUGGAAUGAUUGACAGGUCCUAUGGAGGAGGCAGCAGAGACUCUGCUCUCCUCGUUUGGAUUAAUUCUGAUAUAAUAACUGUUGGUUUAUUUAUCGGUGGAGCAGCACAACAUUUUCCACAGACAGUUUUCCUGCCCGUUGGCUUGUUUUAACCAGUUUUCUACCUUCGGCUGAUUCUACCAGCAGACACUGAAAGGACUCUGAUAGUUCAAGUGAAAGUAGCAGUUCCUCCUUAAGGUCAGAGAUUGCAGCGUCUGAGGGCCUCUUCAAAAGAAGACGUAGUUGAUGAAGGCGUUCUGGAGCAGGACCAGAAAGACCACGACCAAGCAGCCUUGAGAUCUUAGGCAGCGUCUCCCUCAGGUCUCUCUCUAUCUCCCCACACAUCCACCAACCACUGGAACACAUCUCCAAAGUUCUGCCGGGCCAGCUCAGCUUCCCCUCAGAAGAAGUGCCGCCACCUGCCAGAUGAAGAAGCCUUUUGAGAGGCAGCUAGCAUCGUGAUUGGACUGUACUUUGGUCUGUUCCAGUCCAGCUUCAGCUCCAGAGACGGCAGACGGGACGAUUCAACGGAGGCCGGGUGGACGAAGGCAUGCAGCUGAGUACAAUCCAGAAAACAACAGAGGAGGAGUGCAGCAGCCCAGGGCCAGAAAAAACAGAACCAAAGAACUACAGACUCGUCACAACAUGCUCAAACUCUUCGUACAGGACCUCACCACACGGGUCAAGAAGGUUUCCGUCUCAUUUCUACUCUGAAGCUCACCUUCUCCUGCUCAAACUGCUGACAAAUGUUUCUGCUGCUCUAAAGUCUGCUCUCCAGAACUUUCUAAAAACUCUCAAAGUCUCUUCUGCUGCAGGUUGCUUUGUAGAACUGUUGCAAAAAACCUCACUAAACCACAUGGAGGGGCCUCAAGAUAGUCGUCCAAAUGAAACCGUACAAAAACCAAACUAGCACAACCCAAACACUAAAGUCUCCUGCAGCCUACCAGAGAAGCUCUGAGAACAGAGAAUCAGGACAGGAACUCUUACCUUCUGGACAACCAACAUUGGUUCAUAAACAAGAAUACAGAAUGUGUCUAACCAAAAACCUCUAAAGACUCACUACAGUCAAGAUAAAGACACAACUCAGGUGCACCAAAUCCACU